UUUUGGGGGCGCCGAGGCGUGGGCGCCUCUGGUAGCUAGGUAAGCCAGAGAGAGACGGACGAGCGGGGUGCGGAGGAGAGCGGCGGCGGCGGCGGGCGUCGAUCCCAAGGCCGGCGGGCGGAGGGGCGGGGCGCCGUCUAGCCCUGGGGAGCGAGGGGCCUCGGGGUCGCGGGGCGGCGCCGUCCGUACUACUCAGCGGUUGUCGUCGUACAUGGAGAAUCCUGAAGGCGGUUGCCUCGGGGGGUGGCCUUCGAACUAUCCCUCCCAUCACCUUCCGUACUAUCAUUUAGUGUGGACUACUCUAGAAGUAGACCACCAAAAUGGUCACGUCUUUUACCUCCGUUUGAACCCGUACGUUUGGGAAGUGCCCUAGCUGAUCAGAUACAAUACUGUGUUUAAUAGCCCGUAGUACACCUACACGUACAGUUUUUACCUAGACAAUAGAGACCUUAGAAGGUACGUUGUUUGUGGCUAUUUCUGAAACCUUAAUAGAAUUUUUACCGUGUCGGCUAUUUCCUAUGAAGACACCCUCCUGUUUAAUUAUGGAGACUACAACAUUCUUUCGGCCUCUGAUACUAUUAUGGUCGUGUCCUCGAACAAGUUCAAAAACGGUUCCUGCAUUGUGAUCCGCCACUACUUGACGGUUUUCCAGGACAGGUACUGUUUUCCUUUCUGAACUACUAUCUAAGACGGUAGAGAGCAAGAGUAAAGGGACUUCUCUCCCUCGAACUUGCGACCCGUGGUCUACUUCCCCUAAGUCUGACGUAACUUAACCUUUUUAAACUGUCUUUCCCUGUAUCCUCGACCCUGGUCAAACUCUGUUUACGUCGAAACAAACCCCAUUUCUCAUGAAAGUUACUUCUAGAAAUAUGGUGUUUCGAACUCGCUCCAGGAGUAUACUCUCUCGAACUUUUCGUACGAAGUUCCUAUCGUGCUCUUUAUCUCCCACUUCUAUGUCUUCUAGAAGUAGAACGGCUCCUUUCUCCAAAUAUGAACCUACUUCUAAACCUCGUACUACUUCUCUAGUUUAUAAGACGUCAAGCCUCCCUAUGACUAUGGUGUCAAUUUGGGAAAUGUUUACAGGGUUCGUCCGGUCAAUCGUAACUAUGGUUCCUAAACGGUCACACAAGUAGUUGUUACCUACUGUUUAGUAGAAGGGUAUAUAGACCACCAUGAGUAAACAGACGGUGACGACUUAUGGUCAGUUUGUUCGAAAACGGACGACUGCGGUUGUCCAACCUACCAUUCUCUUUAUUUCUAUCAUCACCACUGUUUCUGUUGUCCUAGAACGUUGGACUCUUAUGAAAUUGACUUCCCCCGGCCGGCGACUAAAGACUUCUAAACCUUCCUCGUGGAAGUUCCAGCGCACGCAGACUCGGAAGUAGAAGACCGGUUCCUUUGUUCAGUAGUCUACCAAACCGUGUUCUAAGCUGAGAUGGGUCGUUUGAAGGAAGACGCGGACUUAUACGCUUAAGAAGAGUUUCUGGACCGUCAAGAUAUGGUAAUUGUAGGCUCGCACAACGACGCUUGAGUCGACGCUCACGACGCUUGAGUCGACGCUCACGACGAGGUCCGAAUAGUGGUUCAAGAAGCUACCCUAGAGAAUCGAGUCUGUUUAGUUCAAACUUGGGUUUGCGAUUCCUUAAGUUUAACUUGGGAUUACGAUUCUCAAAGUGAGGGAACUGAAGAGGCUCCGGUGUAGUGGGAGGUCGCGGACUACGUUGUAUGAUAAUAGGAUUAUUGUACCCCCGAUGACCUGGACCAAACGGACAACCGUACCCCAAAGGUGUCCGCAUACCACCUGUCGGACAACAAAUGUUACGAGUCGGACCUAGAAGAGGGGUCCCAAUGUACGUAGGAAGACCCGUUGUCAUACCCGUCGUUUACUACUACCCUGUCUGGGCGGGACAGAUAAUAAUACGUGGACUCUACGUCGUCGUCGUUAUGUCUCCUUCCUUGAAGAUCCAUCUAACUAAAACAAUGCGACGUUACACCUUGAGACGUCACUUUAGGGGUAACCGCCCCCUACGAUUGGUCCGGCUACGCGGCGGUACGCACUUUUCUUGACCGCUACCGGAGACUGAAGUUGGCACACACAAAACAGCGGUCCUGCUUCUAGUGGCAACAAGGAAGACGCUGUCACAAGCUCAGACUUCGCCCGAUUGAGCCUAAAUAACAAGAAUAAAUGUGGUAUCUGCGCUACAACAUUUAAUUUUUUUUUUACGUUCCGGUAGAUAAAGCACACGGGGACCCUAGUACUAUAAGAGAUCACACACCCACCCAGGAAAGGAAAAACAUUAUGAACCACAAACUACAGAUGUAGAGCGACUAAAUAAAUUCUGAACAAACCCUUAGGCUUUUGACCCGACAGUCUAUGACACCACGAUAACUUAAGAUAAUACACUUUACAACG
rnacentral:rRNA from 1 species